rnacentral:misc_RNA from 1 species
AAGCACUGAGGGGAGCCGUAGCUCCCCUCAAAUAAUAGCUUUAUUUUUUAUUGUUGAGCGGUCUGUUGUUAUUGUUGAUGACCGUGGGUGUCGCGAGCUUUUUCUGACCGGGGUAGGCCAAAGAAAACAUAUUUUUUUGGACGCCAACGUUGCCCUCAUCACGCGGUGAUCCAACCAGCUCAGCUACCUCAAGGUAGUU